AGAUGUGCUUUAUUUUAAUUUAACUGUUAUCAAUAGAGAAAGUUGCUUUCCCUGGUAUAGGUAAUAUCGUAGGCUAUGUUGGGUAUUGGGUGAAGGUGUAUAUUUGACGGUCAGACCUGUCAAACAAGGGUGCAGGGAAUAAGGGGUGUGGCAUGUGCUACCCCUGAGUCCCAAAAAAAAAAAAAACUAUUUAUGUAAUUUUUGUGUUAUUCUAUAGUUGGUAGUGUUAAGUAUGUUUAUGAGUGAUUAAUUGAUGAAAAUGUGUACUAUUUCCUGUAUUACAAAUAGUUAACCUUAGAACAAGUGUGUUCUUUACAGUAUUAUGUUGAUAGAUAAUUAACAUAUAAAAAUGUGUAUGUAUUAUAAUUAUUAACCUUAGAACACUUGCACUUUUUUAAUACUGAUUACUCCUUUUUCCCCUGUAAAGAUAGUCCACUAUCAAGAAAGUGCAAUUUUCGGAAAAAAAACUAAAGUACUCUGUGCAUAAUUUCUUACAUUUCUCUUAAUGUCAAAUUAAAGAACUAACUGAGAUCCUGAAUGCGGUGUUAAGAAAUUAAAAAAUUAUGCAAGUAAGUACUUAUUUUUUUAUCUAAAAAUUGUACGUCUCUUUGACUAUCUUUUUGGGAGGGAGGAAGUACAUUAAUUUUGGGUGCCACCUCUGAAUAGAUAUCCUGGCUCUGCCACUGCUGUCAAACCUAGAAAUUGAAGAGACAAAUAUCGAUCCAAAUUUGGAUACGGGUAGGGUAGGGCUACAUAAAUAAUUACUUAUAUUUUCUCCCAUCGAAAUCGCAGUUAAAAAGUUGGCCAAUAUGUGGGGGUCUCUAUUAGAAUUGGUAAUAGGUAGUUGUUUUUACUCGUAUGAUUAUUGUUUACCUGAUGCUUGUCAAAAGGCCUAGGUGACCUCAGAAUAGACUUGCUCAUAUCUAUGGUAUUCUAUAUGGAAAAGGAAAGUCAAUUUUGGUUUUCUUAUGGUUUUAUCUACAUUUGACUUCGAUUAUUUGUCUUUGAUACUUUUCCAAUGUUUUCUCGACUAGGCGCGUCUUGCUUUAAUAAGGCCCGCGCCUCGCUCCAAGGCCUCCAAAAACCUUCGGCACUUCAGUGCACUGAUUGGCUGUAAAACUAUGCUUCAUUCUAUUGUGGCACUGAUGAUCUAUUGUGUUUAUGACUCCUAAUGUGUUUCACUAUCGCCACCUUUCCAGAAUAUAAAACUUACAGUCUAUGCCUAAUAUCUUGUGCACGUUUUACUUCUUCUGUAGAAUCAAGGCUUUUUUAUUUGGUUGUAAUG